GUUGCCUGUGUCACCGUGGCGCUCCAUGAGAGCACAGAAAUACGUCGCAGCAUCCCCCAGCUGCGAGUCGGAGAUCUCCAGGCUGAAGGACUUAGCUGCUUUCUGGAAGUUCACAGAGAAGCGGUUUAACGUUGCAUUAUACUGCUUGUAUGCUUCUUGGAGAAUGACGAGAGUCACCUGCCCUCCUUGCUGUUUGUACCAGAACAAGAGAUCUCUGAACCUUGAGGAGAGGAGUUUUAUGAGGAGCAUGUGCAACUGCCACCCCAAGAUGGCAUCCAGGACGGCUGCCAGGUCUUAUGACCUGCGCCUGACUUCCUCAUUACCUCAGACUUAGCCACAUCCCAGCCGCCUGCACUGCGCAGACGCCAUGCCUCGUCAGCUCGCUUGAGGUGUUGUCACUUGCUGUGAACCAAUGGACUGCCGUUACGUGACUGGGGUGGAGUCAGUAGGGUAUUUAAGGCACACCCCGGGGUUGUUGGGCGGGGGUAGGGGGUGGGGGAUUCCCAUUCCUGCAUUGCAAUUGGAAGUGUUCCUGAAUAAACCUGCUUGAAGAAGGACAA
rnacentral:lncRNA from 1 species